rnacentral:rRNA from 1 species
GAUGAACGCUGGCGGCGUGCCUAAUACAUGCAAGUCGAGCGAACAGAUGAGGAGCUUGCUCCUCUGACGUUAGCGGCGGACGGGUGAGUAACACGUGGAUAACCUACCUAUAAGACUGGGAUAACUUCGGGAAACCGGAGCUAAUACCGGAUAAUAUAUUGAACCGCAUGGUUCAAUAGUGAAAGACGGUUUUGCUGUCACUUAUAGAUGGAUCCGCGCCGCAUUAGCUAGUUGGUAAGGUAACGGCUUACCAAGGCAACGAUGCGUAGCCGACCUGAGAGGGUGAUCGGCCACACUGGAACUGAGACACGGUCCAGACUCCUACGGGAGGCAGCAGUAGGGAAUCUGCCGCAAUGGGCGAAAGCUUGACGGAGCAACGCCGCGUGAGUGAUGAAGGUCUUCGGAUCGUAAAACUCUGUUAUUAGGGAAGAACAAAUGUGUAAGUAACUAUGCACGUCUUGACGGUACCUAAGCAGAAAGCCACGGCUAACUACGU